rnacentral:tRNA from 1 species
GGGCCUGUAGCUCAAGGGUAGAGCACCCGGCUCAUAACCGGCUGAUCCAGGUUCGAGCCCUGGCGGGCCCACCA